GAUGAACGCUGGCGGCGUGCUUAACACAUGCAAGUCGAACGGUGAAGCUCCAGCUUGCUGGAGUGGAUCAGUGGCGAACGGGUGAGUAACACGUGAGCAACCUGCCCCUGACUCUGGGAUAACAGCCGGAAACGGCUGCUAAUACCGGAUAUGCACCAUGAACGCAUGUUCUGUGGUGGGAAAGAUUUUUCGGCUGGGGAUGGGCUCGCGGCCUAUCAGCUUGUUGGUGAGGUAAUGGCUCACCAAGGCGUCGACGGGUAGCCGGCCUGAGAGGGUGACCGGCCACACUGGGACUGAGACACGGCCCAGACUCCUACGGGAGGCAGCAGUGGGGAGUAUUGCACAGUGGGCGAAAGCCUGAUGCAGCAACGCCGCGUGAGGGAUGACGGCCUUCGGGUUGUAAACCUCUUUUAGCAGGGAAGAAGCGAGAGUGACGGUACCUGCAGAAAAAGCGCCGGCUAACUACGUG
rnacentral:rRNA from 1 species